GCCCGGAUAGCUCAGUCGGUAGAGCGUGAGGCUUUUAACCGACAAUUUCGGUCCGAAACCUUAAGGCCGUGGGUUCGAGCCCCACUCCGGGCG
rfam:Rhizophagus irregularis DAOM 181602 strain DAOM 197198 GLOINscaffold_10019_Cont10004, whole genome shotgun sequence.